rnacentral:rRNA from 1 species
UUGAACGCUGGCGGCAUGCCUAACACAUGCAAGUCGAACGGUAACAGGCCGCUGGGAUCCCUUCGGGGUGACCUUGGCGCUGACGAGUGGCGGACGGGUGAGUAAUGCUUGGGAAUCUGCCCAGUAGUGGGGGACAACACGGGGAAACUCGUGCUAAUACCGCAUACGUCCUACGGGAGAAAGUGGAGGAUCUUCGGACUUCACGCUAUUGGAUGAGCCCAAGUCGGAUUAGCUUGUUGGUGGGGUAAAGGCCUACCAAGGCGACGAUCCGUAGCUGGUCUGAGAGGACGAUCAGCCACACUGGGACUGAGACACGGCCCAGACUCCUACGGGAGGCAGCAGUGGGGAAUAUUGGACAAUGGGGGCAACCCUGAUCCAGCAAUGCCACGUGUGUGAAGAAGGCCUGCGGGUUGUAAAGCACUUUCAGUAGAGAAGAAAUGCCUGGGAUUAAUACUCCUGGGUCUUGACGUAACCUACAGAAGAAGCACCGGCUAACUCCGUG